rnacentral:rRNA from 1 species
UACGAAGGGGGCUAGCGUUGCUCGGAAUCACUGGGCGUAAAGCGCACGUAGGCGGGUUGCUAAGUCAGGGGUGAAAUCCUGGAGCUCAACUCCAGAACUGCCUUUGAUACUGGCGGCCUUGAGUCCGGGAGAGGUGAGUGGAACUGCGAGUGUAGAGGUGAAAUUCGUAGAUAUUCGCAAGAACACCAGUGGCGAAGGCGGCUCACUGGCCCGGUACUGACGCUGAGGAGCGAAAGCGUGGGGAGCGAACAGG